GUAGUAAUACAUAUACUAGAAGUGGAACAAUAAAGAGAUGAUUAACCUGGCUCCUGCAGAAGGCCGAUACAAAACUUUGGCAAAUGUCUUACAUUUGG
rnacentral:snRNA from 1 species